AUUAAGGCCGCUAUUAAGUUACCAUUCUAUUUCUCUGCGACAACCCUGUCUCCAAACGCUGUAGGGAGAGCCUUUCUGGCAACCUGCUGUUCACAAAUCAGGAACUACAGCCAAAGCCAAACAAUUCCUUUGUCGUAAGCAUUCAGACAUACUGAGCGCUGCCCAUGUACUGAGAAUACAUAACAGAAGGUUCCUACCCUCUACAAGCUUACAAUAUUGAAGAUGUGUAAGCUCUUAGGGAAAAUAGAGUAGUUAAAAUUAGUGAACAGAGUGAUAUUAACAGCCUCUAAAAGAGAGUCCAAAAAUGCCCAACCAAGAGCAUCAUCUGAAAAAUUAAAUCUUCAGCUUUAAAGCUAUGACCUUAAUCUUCCAGUUGCUCUCUGGAAACACUCUACAACUGCUUGAAGUUCUUUAUAGAGUUCACAGAGAGAGCCUGAUAAUUUGUCAUUCAGCUAUAUUUCUCCGGGCCUUUGGCAAGACUGGAUCUGGUGUGCCACAGCUCUCCGGCGAGGGUGCUGCACCUCUGAGCUCGGAAGAGGGGUCCUGCAGGGCUGGGAGCCAGACUUCUGAUGCCAGUCUACGGUGCCGACAUCAGUGUGGCUGGCGCAGUGAGUGCUGGCGGAACGGAAAGUGGGGUUCACUUGCUGCUCUGGGAAGGAACUGCCUCUGCAGGGGGAGGAUGUGUUGCUGAGCUGAUGUUCCCAGGACACUAAGGCAGGAAAGAAUCCCAGGGGAAGCAUACAGGGAACACACGGAAAGGAGCAUGUCUCCUUUUCUGUCUCCACUUCCCAGUCUUCCUCUGUCACCCUGUGGGGAGGGAUUGCCACUCCAGCGUGAAGCCUUGCUGACGCGAUGCCCACAGGAACCAUAGCAGUUGGAAGCCCAACAGCAACCAGCAGAGAACAGGAAAGAGCAAGCCUCUUCCUCCUCCUCCAACUUAGCAGGCUCCUCUGGCUCCCCUCGUUGUCAAAGCUUGACGGGCAACCGUUUGUAUACAACAAAAGUGGUUUGCAGAGCCCUAUUGCAAAGAGGAGGAGAAAGUAGGUUUGGAGCUGAGAGACAGUAACUUAACAAAUAGUGUAAUUAUUUUCCCCACAAGGCUCUGUUCUGCUUUCCCUGACUAUAUUGAAAUGAUGAUGGAUUUGAGAAGUGCACAGGCUUUCUCAACUGUGCUUGGACCAUUAGACUAUCCAGGAAUGAAGAAGAGAAAGGGAAAGGAAAAGAAAGGUUUUGAGGACAGGGCUGUAGAUAAUGCACUAGGCAUGACUUCACUUCCAACUUGAGACACUGUCAUUGGUUGGUAAACAUGUUCUCAGUAUGUGGGAAUGGGAGACAAUGCAAAAAAAGUGAGUAGAAAAAGGGGCAAUCAUUUCACAGCGAGGCUGUCCCCACCUCCCACACAUCAUACAGUUGCUCUAUACUGUUUAUCCUGUCCUCACAUCCUCUGUAGUGCCCUGGGUAGAGCAUGAUAUAUAAAAUAUGUAGAAUAAACUGGGCACUUUCAAAUAAAAGCAUCGGCGAGCCUAUGCUUACAAUUCUCCAUGCAUGGAAGCCUCAGUGUGGUUUCUGUUUGCUUUACUGGCUGCAUGCUAGGCAGUUGGCUGGCAUCUGGCACGUCCGUUGGUGAAGCACACAAGCGGCUCUACUUCCUUAUUUCCCACAGGCAGUAUUUAUAAUGGCAAGACUGUGUGUCCAGAAUUCAAGCUAAGAAAAUAGGGGGGAAAAAAUCAUGAGCUGAGUGCUUCAGCCUUAGACUUUAUUGAGAACCGAAGGUACGACGCACAGACCUUAGGAUGCCUCUAUCAGCCCAGCCAUGUUGAGCAACGUCACAUGGCAAGGACUGCCGGUAACUUUCAGAAGUUGAGGGUUAGCAUCUGACCGAGCAUCAGCAAACACCGACGCUCUUAGUUCAACCAUAAGGAACGGAAGGCCGCCCCUUCCAUAGUCUCCACGUGGGAACACAGCCCUGGCUGAUACUUGGCAGUCAUAGAAACCGUAAGGCAGGGAAGCCACGUUCAAUCCACAGAAACAGAUUUAUCCCUUUUGUUACAAGGAUGGCUCCAACCACAACUGAAAGAUGGCUAUCAGCAAAAAAAAGGGGACUUUUCUUCAUACUCACUUAAGUGGAGGACAAAGAAUGGUAUCCUAUCUCUCUUAUUUAAGGAAAAAAAUAGAAUUUUCUCAGAAAAGUUUGGCAUUCCAGCCCUGCAGCAGCCCAUUCCAGGAGAAUCACUGAUAGGAGGGAUGGUGUUUUCUUUAAACAAUCCAAUUCUGCCCUUGAUUUGAAGUCAAUUAUAAAAACUAAUUAGGGGAGAGGUAAGUCAACUACAGUGUUCACUACACUUCAUUUUUCAAUUUUAAAUGAAGAAGAUGGAUUAAAUGAUUGGUAAAAUCCUA